UACAGAGGGGGCAAGCGUUGUUCGGAAUUACUGGGCGUAAAGGGCGCGUAGGCGGCCCGCUAAGUCGAACGUGAAAUCCCCGAGCUCAACUCGGGAACUGCGUCCGAUACUGGCGGGCUUGAAUCCGGGAGAGGGAUGCGGAAUUCCAGGUGUAGCGGUGAAAUGCGCAGAUAUCAGGAGGAACACCGGUGGCGAAGGCGGAUCUCUGGGCCUUACCUGACGCUCAGGCGCGAAAGCUAGGGGAGCGAACAGG
rnacentral:rRNA from 1 species